rnacentral:rRNA from 1 species
CCCUUAGAUGUUCUGGGCCGCACGCGCGCUACACUGUUCGACGCAGCGAGUCUUAACCUUGACCGAAAGGUUUGGGUAAUCUUCAGCAAAGUCGAACGUGAUGGGGAUCGAUCAUUGCAAUUAUUGAUCGUGAACGAGGAAUUCCUAGUAAGUGCAAGUCAUCAGCUUGCGCUGAUUACGUCCCUGCCCUUUGCACACACCGCCCGUCGCUACUACCGAUUGAAUGGUUUAGUGAGAUCUCUGGAUUGACGCUGGCUAGGGGGCGACCCUUGGCCAGGCUGUCGAGAAACUGCUCAAACUUGAUCAUUUAGAGGAAGUAAAAGUCGUAACA